AUUGAACGCUGGCGGCAUGCCUUACACAUGCAAGUCGAACGGCAGCACGGGAGCAAUCCUGGUGGCGAGUGGCGAACGGGUGAGUAAUGUAUCGGAACGUGCCCAGUCGUGGGGGAUAACGCAGCGAAAGCUGUGCUAAUACCGCAUACGAUCUAUGGAUGAAAGCGGGGGAUCGCAAGACCUUGCGCGAUUGGAGCGGCCGAUAUCAGAUUAGGUAGUUGGUGGGGUAAAGGCCCACCAAGCCGACGAUCUGUAGCUGGUCUGAGAGGACGACCAGCCACACUGGAACUGAGACACGGUCCAGACUCCUACGGGAGGCAGCAGUGGGGAAUUUUGGACAAUGGGCGCAAGCCUGAUCCAGCAAUGCCGCGUGCAGGAUGAAGGCCUUCGGGUUGUAAACUGCUUUUGUACGGAACGAAACGGUUCUCUCUAAUACAGGGGGCUAAUGACGGUACCGUAAGAAUAAGCACCGGCGAACUACGUGCCUGCAGCCGCGGUAA
rnacentral:rRNA from 1 species